rnacentral:rRNA from 1 species
UACGUAGGGUGCAAGCGUUAAUCGGAAUUACUGGGCGUAAAGCGUGCGCAGGCGGUCUUGCAAGACAGAUGUGAAAUCCCCGGGCUUAACCUGGGAACUGCAUUUGUGACUGCAAGUCUGGAGUGCGGCAGAGGGGGAUGGAAUUCCGCGUGUAGCAGUGAAAUGCGCAGAUAUCGGGAGGAACACCAGUGGCGAAGGCGAGUCUCUGGACAUUUCCUGACGCUGAGGCACGAAAGCCAGGGGAGCAAACGGG